UUAUGACCUUUAUAAAAGUGCAAAAGAAUAAUUUACAAUCUUAACUCUCAGCACUUAAGCUGCCAGGGCCUCCUGUAAAAUGAUAAGAGCUCUCAAUUCCCAUUAAUUUAAGUUAUUUUAAGUAUCUAUCCAUCCAUGUACAGUUUAUCUUUAGCACUUAUCACCAUAUAUCCAACUACUGACUGGUCUUAGUUUUGCCUCAUCUCUACAGCCUAUCACAUAUAUACAUCCUGUCCAAAUGUUCAAGUAAAACAGGCUAUGAAUUUCAAUACUCUGUAUUUAAGAUACAGGCUACAUUUCCCACACAGUAUUUACGAAGGGCUAUGGAUUUGAUCCUGGGAGGAAUUCAGCAGUCAGGUCCCAAGCAAAGCACUUAAGUAUACAAUUGGUCCUGUUAAAUUCAACAGGAAUAUUCCUGCUUAAUGUUAAGUAUGUGCUUAAGUGCUGGAUCAGGAUCACAGUGUUCAGCGCCGUGCAGGUUUGAGCCCAUAGGAAAACACCUGUAUUUUAAAACGAACCGUACUUCAUUCUGGUGCAAAAAAUUUCCACACUUAUUCUCAUCUUUUAUAUAAACAAUAUCUGACUGAUGCAUACUCUCACUAUCAUUCUCAUUAAAUGAAACACAUUUUCCCCAGGGUAAAAAAAGCUCCAUUUACCAAUUUUGACCCAUCAACCUUACUUCCUGGAUCCUUGGAUUACUGGACCUAUCAUGGUUCUCUGACUCAUCCUCCCCUUUUUGAGAGCAUCACCUGGAUUAUCUAUAAGGAGCCCAUUACUAUCAGUUCAGAGCAGCUGGCCCAAUUCCACAGCCUCAUAUUGACCAAUCACCGGCUUCCCCAGCCAUUGAAGGGCAGAAAAGUGAGAACCUAAUUCCAGGUAAUUAAGAAUUAGUCAGAAGUGAAAAUAUUUUCUCAAAACCUCUAUAUCUAAACAAAAGGCCAUAUAAGAAUUCACAAAAAUUAUUUUAAAAAGUGAAUCUCUGUUUAAGAUACAAUGCUCAUAUCCUGACAGAUGCUAUUGCCAUUGAUUGUAAUGUAUUUACUGAAAUGAAUCUAUGUUUCUUGUGCAUUGUGAAGCAAAUGCAUUUUAAUGUGUGGCUUUUACCUUAAGUAUUUUAAAAUAUUUUUGGAAUAAUCACAUUUUUACUAAAUGUAUUAAAUAACCUAGAUAUUGUGGUGAUAAAUAGCAAAAGAAAUGCUUUGAAUAAUAUAAUAAAAUAAGUCAGUCAGUGUUCAUGCUUAGCUAACUAAUCAAAGAUUUCAUUUAACUAUAGUAAAUAUAUGUGUUAAUUUUUGCAAAGGCAUCACUUCUGUUAAUGCUAAUUUUAGCUGUUGUAAAUUGUUUGCACAAUAAAAAUUAAUAUAUUUGUC